UACGAAGGGUGCAAGCGUUGUUCGGAAUCAUUGGGCGUAAAGCGCGCGCAGGCGGAUUGAUAAGUCAGGUGUGAAAUCUCGGGGCUCAACCUCGAAACUGCGCCUGAAACUAUUAGUCUAGAAUGUCGGAGGGGGCAGGGGAAUUUCACGUGUAGGGGUAAAAUCCGUAGAGAUGUGAAGGAACACCGGAGGCGAAGGCGCCUGCCUGGACGACUAUUGACGCUGAGGCGCGAAAGCGUGGGGAGCAAACAGG
rnacentral:rRNA from 1 species